AUUUCCUACUAAAUUCAAAAGUUACGACUUUGUCACAAGAGACAUAGUUUGUGUCACAUUUAUGCCUAAUAAGGGAAUAAAAAACUUGUAAGGUUAUUUUUCUUAUAUAUUUCAAGUUCUGUAUUUUAUAAUCAAGUAAGAUUAUUUGUAUUUCUCAUUAAUGAUGCAGCAUGUAUGAGUCAGCCUCAUAAAUGAUAUAAUUUAUAGUGGAUGGAUAAGCAAUUAAUAGUAGAUGAAGAAUCAGGACAAAUUUAAUUUUGCCUGAAGGCAAUAAACCUUAUUGGCAAAAAUGCAAAUCUGACACUUUUAAGUAAAAAAAGAAAGUUCCAAAGGAUCUGAUUUUUAUAUUGGCACAUCUACUAGCUGCCUCCUGGGUUAUGCCAGGCUCUUGCUACUGCUUUCUACACCAUAAUUUAACACCGGGAACUCAGUCUUUGCUAAUGACACCAUCCUUUGAGCAAUACACUAAUAGAUCAUGGGCUGAUGAUGUUCAUUAAUGAUGAAUCACACUAAUAUAUCAUUUUCUGUGUCACACAGGUGUUUUAUCAGAUUAAUUUCAUCGGUGCAAUGACCUGUGAUGAUGAUGCAUUGCUUAAGGAUAAUGCAAUUCAGAAAGAAAUGAAAUUUGGAAUUAAACCUGUAUUCAGCAGCUUUGAAGCACUAUUGAGAAACUUUAUAGAAACAACAGAUAUGAAUAUGAUGUGCAUAUAAAUGCACAAUGCUAAAAUAAUAUUCAUGCUGUCAAUAACAUCCAAUGCCUCACGAAAAUGCCAGCGAAGAAGGACUAUAAGCUGCAGUCAGCACUGUUUCCAUUCCUCUACCUGUUUCAUUUGUGCAUAUUUCAGACCCUCCAUGUGUGAUUCAAGAGACUUCUGCAAUUGUCCUUCAGGAAUCAUGCAUCCUGUCCUAGUUCAUUUUGAUGAAGGUGAUUUGAGAAGAUGGCUGUCUGGAGCGAUAGAUAAAGACUCAUUGGACUGUUACAGAGGAAAAGAAAUUCAGGAGAAGCAUGUGAAUUCAUUACUAAGAAACAAGUACCGUAGCAUUCAGGUGAAGAGGGAAGAAAAAGGAAAGAAAAUGUGUGAAAAAUCAGCUGCAUUUUCAUUGUGA
rnacentral:lncRNA from 1 species